ACUGAAUAGAUACCCAGGUAGUCCACGCCGUAAACGAUGAGUGCUAGGUGUUGGGGACUCCAAAUCCUCAGUGCCGCAGCUAACGCAAUAAGCACUCCGCCUGGGGAGUACGGCCGCAAGGCUGAAACCUCAAACGGAAUUGACGGGGUACCCGCACAAGCGGUGGAGCAUGUGGUUUAAUUCGAAGCAACGCGAAGAACCUUACCAGGGCUUGACAUCCCGUCUGAAACUCUCUAGAGAUAGAGGCUCCCUUCGGGGUCAGAGGUGACAGGUGGUGCAUGGUUGUCGUCAGCUCGUGUCGUGAGAUGUUGGGUUAAACGUCCCGCAACGAGCGCAACCCGUUGUCCUUAGUUGCCAGCAUUCAGUUGGGCACUCUAGGGAGACUGCCGUCGACAAGACGGUAGGAACGGUGGGGUAUGA
rnacentral:rRNA from 1 species